GAGUUUGAUCAUGGCUCAGAUUGAACGCUGGCGGCAUGCCUUACACAUGCAAGUCGAACGGCAGCACGGGAGCUUGCUCCUGGUGGCGAGUGGCGAACGGGUGAGUAAUGCAUCGGAACGUAUCCUGGAGUGGGGGAUAACGUAGCGAAAGUUACGCUAAUACCGCAUAUUCUGUGAGCAGGAAAGCGGGGGACCUUCGGGCCUCGCGCUCUUGGAGCGGCCGAUGUCGGAUUAGCUAGUUGGUGAGGUAAAGGCUCACCAAGGCGACGAUCCGUAGCAGGUCUGCGAGGAUGAUCUGCCACACUGGAACUGAGACACGGUCCAGACUCCUACGGGAGGCAGCAGUGGGGAAUUUUGGACAAUGGGGGCAACCCUGAUCCAGCCAUGCCGCGUGAGUGAAGAAGGCCU
rnacentral:rRNA from 1 species